rnacentral:rRNA from 1 species
GGAACGCUGGCGGCGUGCCUAAUACAUGCAAGUCGAGCGGACCGACGGGAGCUUGCUCCCUUAGGUCAGCGGCGGACGGGUGAGUAACACGUGGGUAACCUGCCUGUAAGACUGGGAUAACUCCGGGAAACCGGGGCUAAUACCGGAUGCUUGAUUGAACCGCAUGGUUCAAUCAUAAAAGGUGGCUUUCAGCUACCACUUACAGAUGGACCCGCGGCGCAUUAGCUAGUUGGUGAGGUAACGGCUCACCAAGGCGACGAUGCGUAGCCGACCUGAGAGGGUGAUCGGCCACACUGGGACUGAGACACGGCCCAGACUCCUACGGGAGGCAGCAGUAGGGAAUCUCCCGCAAUGGACGAAAGUCUGACGGAGCAACGCCGCGUGAGUGAUGAAGGUUUUCGGAUCGUAAAACUCUGUUGUUAGGGAAGAACAAGUACCGUUCGAAUAGGGCGGCACCUUGACGGUACCUAACCAGAAAGCCACGGCUAACUACGUGCCAGCAGCCGCGGUAAUACGUAGGUGGCAAGCGUUGUCCGGAAUUAUUGGGCGUAAAGCGCGCGCAGGCGGUUUCUUAAGUCUGAUGUGAAAGCCCCCGGCUCAACCGGGGAGGGUCAUUGGAAACUGGGGAACUUGAGUGCAGAAGAGGAGAGUGGAAUUCCACGUGUAGCGGUGAAAUGCGUAGAGAUGUGGAGGAACACCAGUGGCGAAGGCGACUCUCUGGUCUGUAACUGACGCUCGAGGCGCGGAAGCGUGGGGAGCGAACA